rnacentral:lncRNA from 10 species
GCACCCGGGAGGAAAGGCGAGGCUCUGCAUCUAGAUUUACCUCGUUCUCUUUUGUCUCCGCUUUUUUUUCACAUUUCCUUGCGACCCUGGCCCUUGAGCGACAAAAAGGGGAAGCCAAGGCUGGCCCGAGGAACGGAGAGGGCACAUGGCCUAGCCACAAGUGGAGCUUCUGCUCCGCCCGAAGGGAUGCGCUGGAGCGGCCUCUUCCUUCUGCCACGGUCUUUCUUUGCCAACUAAGAUGGGGUUUCACCAGGUUAGCCAGGCUGGUCUUGAACUCCAGACCUCAAGGGAUCCGCCUGCCUCAGCUUUCCAAAGUGCUGGGAUUACAGGUGGAGACUGGACCUCAGAAGAGGGAGUGGGUGCCCCGAGAACUCACAGCUAGCGGACAGUGGAAAGGGCAGGAGCCGGACCAAGGUGAGGACAGUGGAACUGAAGGCCGCUGGUUACCUCUCCUGCCCUCCGCUGGCCACAGUGGAGAAGACAGCCCCUCCCUCCUGCUCUGACCUGACAGUGUUCAUCCAUCGCCCUGUAUUAGCGAAGAACAACAUCAAGCUGGCUAGCAAGGAACUGUAUACAGGGUCCAGCUGGGUAUCACACUGGAUCUCACCCAAAGCUUAGAUGUGAUCCAGCUCAGUAUCACAAAGCAGAACGAAAAGGAUGUGUUUGGGCUGAGAGGCCAUACAUUGGCUCCGGCAUGACGGGUGACUUCUUCCGAGUCUGGCUUCUGCAGCACACAGGGCUUCGCCAGCACCCAGCUCCUGCAGCAUGGGCAGCUCCUGUGACAGCAGGCGCCCGCAGCCUGCAAAGCGUCUCCAGUGCCGCCGCCUCAGUGAACCUCAACCAGCGGCACCUAGCAGCUUUCUCUGCCACCCUCUUCAGGUAGUUCUGUAGCAGCGCGUUUCUCAUGAGACACUUCCCUGUGAGCAGCUUUUUCUACCCUUGAGGAUGGAUUUCCAGCAAAUUCUGCCCAUGUGGUACCACAGCCACUUCUCUGCCAUUCAGUGAAACUGCCGUUGUGCCCUCUUCAAGGUCUGGAUCUAAGCCCAGGGACCAGGAAACCUCUUGCUUGAGUGCUGGAACUCAGGCCAGAAGGACAUCCCUGUAGAAGUUCUGCUGCGUGUGGUCCAGCCGUCCCCACUCCUCCCGGGAGAGGUACAAGGCCACAUCCUCGAAAGUCACUGGCAUCUGAAACAAUGUGAAACAUCCACUCUCCAGGACAUGACGUGGACACGGUGGAGGGACACCAUGGCAUGAGAUGUGUGGUGAGACCCCGGACUCCCAACCCACUGUGUCGAGUGAGGCCUGCCACUUCCAUCUGAUCGGGAAGCAGGUGAGCCACCCAAGGCCUUCUGGGGAGUUGAGAAAGAACAAAGACCAAGAGGUAUUUUCAGGGAUCACAGUUAAGACUUAGGAUGUCCAUGCAGCCCCCAGCCUCAGCUGAGACCUCGGAGGACGGUUCCCAACGGCUACCAGCGAGAGGCCCUGUGUCUCUAAUUCCUGCUGCUUCUCCUCCAGCUUUGGCCCAGGCCUGACCAUGGGCCUUGAGCCUGGACAAUUCCAGCAACACUAGCAAGAGCCCCAGGCUUCAGGCUUGGCUGCAAGUGGGGCCAGCGGGGUCCUGGCUUUCACACAGAACCAGCAGAUGCAGGAAGGGCUGAGUACCAUGCAGGGGCCGGGGAAGGGCCACUCACCUGGGACCAGGCAGUGAGGAGCGCUGCAGCCAUCUGCCGGUCUCUGGUCCUCCCCUCUCGGGAAAGCACGGGGAUCCGGGGGGAGGGGAGGGCUGUGGGAGGAGAGAGGUCCUCACGGUGAUCAGCUCAUCCUGCUGGACCUGCUGCUACUUCAGCUGCCUCAAACUCCACCCCUGGCCCGACCCAAGGACAGGGUCGGAUGGCUCUGACGCUGCCAGGGGGCUGUGGGCCAUGGGGGGAUAGCGUCCCCUGCUGGCAUAGAGACCCUCAGCCCCACCUGGACCUGGGCCAAACCUCCACCUCCCCACAGCUGCCUCCCUGGGAAAGCGCCUCUUCCCCGUCCCUCUCCUACCUCCGCCAGGCAGGAAGAGAGCUUUCUCCUUAGAGCCGUGACUUAGGGGUGCCCAGCCCCAGGCACCUUGAGCCCCAUCCUCCUGCGAUGCCCCCUCGGAGUGUGGCUCUUCGGGCUCCAUCUUAAUGUGCAGUGACUCCUGAGUGUCCCCUGAAGGUACCGCCUCCCCCAGCUUAGAAGGCAUUUCCUGAUGAGGAUGUCCACGAUCUGGAACCUAGAAAGGACAGCCCCAUCAGCACCCAGAUGAGUGGGAGAGACACCCAGGGCCACAUGGCAGUGCGCUCCGGCAGCGUCGGAAACCAACAUGCAAGACGCAGCUUGAAGGACUGUCCUUGCUGCAUUCAUCCAGCUCACCCCAGCAAGGACGGGCGGCAAGAGGAGGAAUAUUCACCAAGCCGCCUCCACAGUGCCGGUGGGCGUGGUGCCCAAGGGCAGCUACCCCUUCUCAGCUCCAGCCUCACACUGACCUCAGCAGUGUAGACUGCUGUCUAUUAGUGUAUGAAGAAACCAAGUGUAGUGGCUUGAAUAGUGUCCUCUAAGAAUCCGUGUCCUCCCUGGACCUCAGAAUGGGACCUUAUUGGGGAAAAGGGUCUUUAUACAGAAUAGGAGAGGACACAGAGACACAGAGAAGGAAGCAGAGACUGGAGGGAUGCCCACACCAAGGACACCAGGAGCCCCCAAGGAGUUGGAAGAGACGGAGUUUCGCUCUUCUUCCCAUGCUGGAGUGCAAUGGCGCAAUCUCAGCUCACCCCAACCUCCGCCUCCUGGGUUCAAGCGAUUCUCCUGCCUCAGCCUCCUGAUUACCUGGGAUUACAGGCAUGUGCCACCACACCUGGCUAAUUUUGUGUUUUUAGUAGAGAUGGGGUUUCUCCAUGUCGGUCAGGCUGGUCUGGAACUCCUGACCUCAGGUGAUCCGCCCACCUCAGCCUCCUAAAAUGCUGGGAUUACAGGCGUGAGCCACCGCGCCCAGCCUAUAAAAUUGAUUCUUUAAAAAAAAUUAGAACAUUUACCGAUGCUGGACCCACCUUCCCCACCUUCAGGGUCCACUUUCUAGGUGGCCACAGUGCCUGCUUGGCCCCUGUAGCAUUUGAGUUUGCAACUCUGCUUUUGGAGUUAAACAUGUUUUAGGAGUCCUGGGAUUCUGAUUGAUGCUAUUGUCAAUUUGAUGAAAGAAAAAUUACUCCUGGGA